CGGUAAUUCCAGCUCCAAUAGCGUAUACUAAAGUUGUUGCAGUUAAAAAGCUCGUAGUUGGAUUUCUGCGGGGACGGAGCGGCCGGACGCAACUUGCGUCUCGAGCUAGCGCUUUCCCCGCAUCCUGCCGCGAACCGUGCUACCAUUAGUUUGGUGGCGCUGGGGAUCGGCUCGAUUACUUUGAGAAAAAUAGAGUGUUCAAAGCAGGCCACACGCAUUGAAUAAGUUAGCAUGGAAUAAUGACUAAGGACUUUGGUUCUUUUCGUUGGUGUUCGGGACUGAAGUAAUGAUUGAUAGGGACAGUUGGGGCGGUCCGUAUUCCAAAGCGAGAGGUGAAAUUCUUAGACCUUCGGAAGACGAACAGCUGCGAAAGCGUUCCGCAAGGAUGUUCCCUUUGAUCAAGAACGAAAGUUGGGGGAUCGAAGACGAUCAGAUACCGUCGUAGUCUCAACUAUAAACUAUACCAGCUAGGGAUCGGCCAACGUUUAAUUAUUCGACUUGGUCGGCACCUUAUGAGAAAUCAAAGCAUCUGGGUUCCGGGGGGAGUAUGGUCGCAAGGCUGAAACUUAAAGGAAUUGACGGAAGGGCACCACCAGCCGUGGAGCCUGUGGCUUAAUUUGACUCAACACGGGAAAACUUACCAGGUCCAGACAUAGGAAGGAUUGACAGAUUGAUAGCUCUUUCUUGAUUCUGUGGGUGGUGGUGCAUGGCCGUUUUUAGUCGGUGAAGUGAUUUGUCUGCUUAAUUGCGUUAACGGACGAGACCCCAGCCUGCUAAAUAGCGCGGCCGAGCUUUGCUCGGUGCGAGCUUCUUAGAGGGACCAUGAUGCGCGAUAGCACAAGGAAGUUUGGGGCAACAACAGGUCUGUGAUGCCCUUAGAUGUUCUGGGCCGCACACGGGCUACACUGGCGCCUGCAACGAGCAUAUCAGCUGGCCCGAGAGGGUCUUGGCUAAUCUUUGGAACCGGCGCCGUGCUUGGGAUUGACCAUUGCAAUUGUUGGUCAUGCAACGAGGAAUGCCUUGUAAACGCGAGUCAUCAGCUCGCAUUGAAUACGUCCCUGCCCCUUGUACACACCGCCC
rnacentral:rRNA from 1 species